rnacentral:lncRNA from 1 species
GAUUCGGUUUUAUAGACCACAUUAAAUUAAAGGUCUUGAAGCACACUUAAUGUACAGCUUUAUUUAAGAAUUUAACGUUUUAAAUUGCAAAACUGAAAAUGGCAAUGUUGCGCCUUGCGCGUAACUUUCAAGAUCAAGAUGGCUGCUGACAGUCUGACAGCCUCGGCUCAUAACUCAACCUACUCAACUUAUUUUACCUGACAUUACAAUAAUCGUCAAAAAAAUUGAUAACAUAGCCUAGAAUUUAGGCCUGAAAAUUCCAUCUGAUCAUGUGGCCUGAAACUCCCAAAAUUGUCGUCUCUUGCUGCACGUGCCGGCUGUGCGUAUCGUCUUAUGUAGAAAUACUUCAAAACACAUGGUGAAGUCUGAGCUUCUUCAUUGCAGUCCAAUGUGUACAGUGCGAUUUGUUGCAGCCAGCAGGCGAAAGGUGUUCUUCUUGCAGGCUUGCUACCUGUACCAUUUGUAGCUUCUUCCAAACAAUUUAAACUAAUUAAAUUGAUCAACUUUUUUCAGUGAGGCUACACAUUAAAUUUGUUGGUAACUAGCUCUUCGUUUUACAUCUAUUGACUUUACAGUUAAGACUGUUAAAUAGUAUAAAUUUAAGAGAAAAAGUAAUAAAAUAAGCUUGCCAACUAUUGAUUCCUUUGUAAAAGUAGUUCUUAG